rnacentral:rRNA from 1 species
AGUGAACGCUGGCGGUAGGCCUAACACAUGCAAGUCGAACGGCAGCACAGUAAGAUCUUGCUCUUACGGGUGGCGAGUGGCGGACGGGUGAGGAAUACAUCGGAAUCUACUUUUUCGUGGGGGUUAACGUAGGGAAACUUACGCUAAUACCUCAUACGACCUACAGGUUAAAUCAUUGGAUCUUCGGACCUUGCGCGAUUUAAUUAGCCGAUUUCGGAUUAGCUAGUUUGCGGGGUAAAGGCCCACCAAGGCGACGAUCCGUAGCUGGUCUGAGAGGAUGAUAAGCCACACUGGAACUGAGACACGGACCAGACGCCUACGGGAGGCAGCAGUGGGGAAUAUUGGACAAUGGGCGCAAGCAUGAUACAGCAAUACCGCGUGGGUGAAGAAGGCCUUCGGGUUGUAAAGCCCUUUUGUUGGGAAAGAAAAGCAGCAGGUUAAUACCCCGCUGUUAUGACGGUACCCAAAGAAUAAGCACCGGCUAACUUCGUG